rnacentral:misc_RNA from 1 species
UAAAGUACGGGGGAAUCUCAGGAAAAUGUUCUUUAGCCCAAGUAUCAUGAGUGUUCUAACAUGAGGCUGCUACAAUUGGACAUGUACAUUAAACCUUUCGCAAACCAACUUCUGUAACAUAAAACACAGAAAUAGCAUUUUCUCCAUAUAACCUUUCUUGUCCUCGUUAGAAAGAACUCCAAGAUUUUUCUUUUCUUGAGAAUAAUGAGUGCCAUUGGCUGGUUUCACUUCUUUAGGCUUGUAACAAAUAUAACUUGCGGCAUUAUUACUUGAUCAGCCUGCCAAGUCUCAGGAAAAUGCAAUUUAUUUACAGCAGAGGAUGUGGUUACAGAUUUUUGAAUACAUGCAAGAUGUUCGGAUAAAUGGAAAAUUUGUUGUAAUUAGUUCAUGUUACAACAAAUUUUCCAUGUAGCUAUUCACAAAAUUCAUAUUUACAGCAAAGGAACUGGAGGAAAAUUAUAGGUUAUGUGCAUGCGCUUUGAUUCUGUGUUAUCUCCUCAGGUAGACUUCAACUUAUCCAACCUGUAAAAUAUCUGCAAAAUUGAUAUGAGAUUUGAGAGAUCUAAGCAGACAACCAAGAAACAGAAAGACAGUGACCAUGUAACGUCAGCGAUAUGAACUUGAGCUCACCAGAAUGGAGUGAAUCUCUUCUAGAAUAGGCACUAGUAGUGAAAUGAAGGUUUCCAUAUCCUCUGUAAGUGUGUCAUUGUUUUCAUCUUUUCGCUUGAGGAGAUUAAUGAAGGCCUUCGUAUCAGGAAUUAAUUUAAGAGCUACUCUAUAAGCAGCAGAUGAAAUCCAUCCAUGCCAUGGCUUCAGAGUAAUAUUGUAAGAAUCUUUUACAGCUUCCUCCAUUUCCUGAUCAGGAUCCUUCACUAAUCUUUGUAAUAAAGCAACUGUAAAAUCCAAGGAUCUGGGGAGCGAAUUGAGUUUCGUUUUUCUCGAAUUAAUAGUGAUCAACUAUUGAAAUUUGCAUAAUCUGAUGAUGAUAGACUAUUAAACAGGAGAGAAUGACAUCCUAAAUAUGCUUCAGCAGAAACAGAUAGAAUAUUAAUAUUGUAAGAACCAAUAAUUGAAAAAAGCCAAGCACGCAAGUACAUCAUUGUCGGCCAUUAAAUAAGCAUACGCGGUAAUCUAUUACUUGGUUAUUUAAUUUCUAUUAAUGUUAAUGACGGACUAAACUAAGUUGAACCCAUGUUCUAAUGUGCUUAC